AACGAACGCUAGCGGCAGGCCUAACACAUGCAAGUCGAACGGUAACAGGGAAAAGCUUGCUUUUCCGCUGACGAGUGGCGCACGGGUGCGCAACGCGUAUAGAACCUACCUUUUACUGGGAAAUAGCCCAUGGAAACGUGGAUUAAUGUCCCAUAAUAACAUUUGAUGGCAUCAUCUGAAUGUUUAAAGCUUUGGCGGUAGAAGAUGGCUAUGCGUCCCAUUAGUUAGUAGGCGAGGUAACGGCUCACCUAGGCUUCGAUGGGUAGGGGCCCUGAGAGGGGGAUCCCCCACACUGGUACUGAGACACGGAUCAGACUCCUACGGGAGGCAGCAGUGAGGAAUAUUGGACAAUGGACGAAAGUCUGAUCCAGCCAUGCCGCGUGCAGGAAGACGGCCCUACGGGUUGUAAACUGCUUUUAUACGGGAAGAAUAAGGGGUACGUGUACCCCGAUGACGGUACCGUAAGAAUAAGGACCGGCUAACUCCGUG
rnacentral:rRNA from 1 species